UAGGACUGACAGACAGUUCUGAUAGCGGUAGAGGAGAAGGAGUCUCACUAAGUAUAUGGGACUUUGCUGGACACGACAUAUACUACACAACCCAUCAGGUGUUUCUAACGUGGCGAGCCAUUUAUGUGAUUGUCUUUGAUCUCAGUAGAAGUUUGGAUUCUGUCGUUCCCUCUGAAUCCAGAGACGAGAAUUAUGAAAGGGCUAAAGGAGGUGCCAAAUCAGAACUGACAUGUCUUGAGUUCAUCAACUUCUGGUUGUGUUCCAUCUACGCCCAUGCUGUGGCACCCUCUUCAGUCAGGAAUAAGAACUCUUCUAAAACAGCCCAGAUAUCUCCACCAAUAUUCAUCGUUGGAACGCAUCGAGAAAGUGUGACAGGAGAUGCAAA